UCUCAUUCUUUUUGUUGGUGAUGGACAACCAUUAUGGAUUUGUUUUUUUUUACCUCUUGUGAGGGAUAAGAUGUGGUUGAUCCUAAUAUGGGAUACUUCCGUUUUGAAAUUUGAACGCAUGGUCAAACUAACUGAAGACUACCCUGCCCCUGGUUAAGAUUGAAGUUUUUUCGUACAGAAAGAAAUCCUACUACUAUACCCAAAAGGGUUGACUAGGGAUUAUCUUCCUUAUACCUCUAGUGUUUAGGGAUUGAAAUAAUGCCUUACGUCAUCAACAAGGUUUUAUUAAAC
rnacentral:lncRNA from 1 species